rnacentral:rRNA from 1 species
CAGAAACUCAAAUGAAUUGACGGGGCCGCACAAGCGGUGGAGUAUGUGGUUUAAUUCGAUGCAACGCGAAGAACCUUACCUGGUCUUGACAUCCCGGAGACCCUUAGGAAACUAGGGGGUGCUUCCAUCUGGAAGAAUCUGGAGACAGGUGCUGCAUGGCUGUCGUCAGCUCGUGUCGUGAGAUGUUGGGUUAAGUCCCGCAACGAGCGCAACCCUUGCCUUUAGUUGCCAGCAGUUCGGCUGGGCACUCUAAAGGGACUGCCGGUGUUAAACCGGAGGAAGGUGGGGAUGACGUCAAGUCCUCAUGGCCUUUAUGACCAGGGCUACACACGUACUACAAUGGCCGAUACAAAGGGCAGCGACACUGCGAGGUGAAGCCAAUCCCGUAAAAUCGGUCUCAGUCCGGAUUGGAGUCUGCAACUCGACUCCAUGAAGUUGGAAUCGCUAGUAAUCGUGGAUCAGCAUGCCACGGUGAAUACGUUCCCGGGCCUU